ensembl:lncRNA
GGGAAGGCACCCUCCAGCUCAGCAGAAUCCUCUCCGCCCAGCAGUGUCCGGCAUCCCCUUCCCGAGCAGGAGGAGCCACUGGAGCAGCUACUCCCACUCCCAGUGGGGCCGCCCAUUGCUGCAGCCAACAGUGGCAGCAGCACUAGCCUGAGCGGGGCAAGCGGCAGCAAAUGGGAUGUGGAGGGUGAGGAGGAGCUGUCGGAGGAGCGGCCCGUCUCGCCCGCCUGCACCACCGUGGAGAUGCAUGAGCCACCGCUGCUCGUAGACACGCGGCGCUUGAGCAGGGCCAGUAAGUCUAGCAGCUGCAGAGCCAGGUCAGACGACCUGGCCGUGUAGUGCGGUCGCCUCUGCUCCGAGGAGCGGGCGGUGGAAGGCGGAGAGGGCAGGGGAGCUGCCCGGGGCAGCCAGGCCUCACGUGGUGGGACGGCCUGGGCUUCAAACUUUGACGCUUGCUGUUUUUGCACCCUGUGAGUUGUAGUGGGAAAAAGUAUGAACAUUUUCUAAUAGGUCAGGGGGGACCAAAGCACAGCCUGCGGGCCAGGGGACCGAUCUCGCUUUCCUUCACAUGUCGAUGGCAGAUCUCCCCAGGGCAGCCAUAGGGGAGGCCUGCACAGAUAAGAGGUGGUAGUGGUUGCUGGUCAUGUGUCCGGAGGCUGAAUUUCAUCUGAGAACAAUGUUAAUAUCCCUAGCGCCCAUGUGGCUGCCUGUCAUCUCCCUCUUGCCCUUGCCUUCACUUCCACCCUUUUUCACACAAGCUCUACGUGAGCAGAUGCAAUGACUUAUUUUCUUAUUCUUAAAUCUCACAUAGCCCUAUGGCAAACAUCAGGGUGGCAUAUUGCCUAUUGGCACCUGUCACCUCAAAGGACCAACUUUCCAUAUUAAAGGUGGCUCAGUCUCUUCCAUACAACAUGAGUUAAUGAAGCCUUUGUGCUCAUGGCAAAUCGCCAGUGUGGUUCUCGGCCAGGCAGAGUUUAGGUAACCCCUGUAAUAGAUUUUUGAGGUUCCUCUUUCUAUAAUUUUUUUUUACUCUUGACCUGUUAGGAAGUGUUCAGUUUGACCUUCUAGUCAGUGUUUGCCGACCAUGAUCACACCAUGUUUUUAAGCCUACAAAUAUGUUUGAGCAUGUUUGAUUAUAAUUUUAGAUGACUUCUGAAAUUGCUUAGAGGAGGACAGGAAUUUAAACCGCAUCUCAGAAAUUAUUACACAGAACAAUUUCUCUUCAGAAAGCAAGGAUUAUGAUUUCAAUAUAUUGUGGCCCCAUACAUUGCCCGUGGACAAACAAUAGGAUAAAGUACAGCUCUGCAUUUUAGACUAUUAGAUAUCAGCUUAAGUUUGUUGGGAAAAUGCUUUUUAGAAGUAAACUUGAGUGCAUAUUUUUAAGUAUUUGAAUAUUUUGAGAAUUAAUUUUGAUCUGUAGGUUUAAAAUUACUAGACUGCGUACUUAAUCAUUUUAGUUUGAUUUUACAAGAAAAUGUAAGGGGAAGGAAACUUACUAAUGGUAAAAUUCCCAAAGCAACGGUAUUUCCUGUUGUGUUCUAUCCUUUCCUUUAACAACAAUCUGUUGUGUCUUACAGGUCAGUGAAAAAAGAUUUAGCCAAUAUUGUAUUGCAGAGAAGGUGGCUAAAAUAUCUGUAUCACAUGCUAGUGGCUGAAGGGUCUGUUCUGAUCACACUGAAGUCACCCACAGAAAUUCCAUUCAAUUUAACAAGGAGCAAGAUUUGGGGAUGGAUCUUGCAGGCCUUAUUCAAGCAAAACUAACAUUCCCAUGGUUUUUUGGGAGCCAGAAAGAAUGUAGAUUUGAGGCCUUAGAUAAAGACAUUAAAAUCCUGCUUUUGAAAAUUAUGUUUCCCUUGAAAAAUGGGUGGAGGAAACUACUGGGUAUUUUUUUCUAAAGUGCAGCUUUCCUUACAGCUGGCUCUGUUCUUUAUUCCUUUGUAACAAGUACCCUCACAGAUAUUAGUCAGAAUUUUGAAUGGCCGUUAAGGCUCAGGAGAGUUCGGGUACAAAAGGAAUGCAGGAUUAGGCCCAACUUCUGUUCUAAUUAAAAUCCAAAAGAACUGAAGCUCGGAGUCAGUUCUAUUGCUGCUAUAAAUCGAAAGUACUGUAAUUGGAGAAGAGCAGUCAAACACACUGGGAUAACGCUUUGCAUCCUCAAAGCAUUUGGCCUGGCAGGGGAGUCCUUACUCGGGCAAAGCAGGGUCACCAUGUGGCAAGUAGUUACAGUUGCCAGUUAUCUCUGCUGUUAAAUGUUUUCCUGAAUGUGUUUAUUUUAUUCAACAGUUAAAAUGUAUUCCCAAGAAUCUUCAAGAUUAAACAUAUAUUUUUACUGCUUUCUGAGUAGACACAAGUAAACACUGUGUAGUUUCUCAUGAUCAGAAGCACUGUUCUGCAGCUCUUGGCCAUGAUGUCUCAUUACUUCCUUGACCUGCCUGUGGUGAACCAGGUGAGAAGUCUUUCUGCUGCCACUCAUCUUAGGGCAGACACUGCGUUAAAAGUCAAUGUACGGUAGUACAAUAAAGUAUUUUCUAUUAGGUGUACAGCUUCAGGCAUGCUCUCUUGAAUUUUCUAUGUUAUAAGCCAUAAAAACCCUUUCUGCAAGAAAGCUACAAGUUAAAUUCUACUUUCUAUUGUAUCCAUGCAACUACGCCGAAAUUAGACUAAAGUUGAUAAGGUGGCCUAGAUGUAAACAAAGGCAGUUUAACACUCAAAACUUUUAGAUUUACUAGCAUCUAUGGUAGCAGUUUUGUAAGUUUUGCUAAACGCCAAGUAAUUAGUAUUGCUGAGAUAAUGCAGUAUGCAUCUCUGUAUUUUAGUACAUGAAAAUUCAUGGGCUAUAUUUUCCUUUCUUUUAUGCUUCUGAGGAAUAAAGUCAAAGUCUCUCUGGAGUGUAUUUAUAGAAACCAGACCACCUGGAAUACGUGCUUUUUGUAUCAACACCUGAGAGCAAAACUGACUUGUUUGAUGGAGCUCUGAAUCUUGCAGUCCUUACUUUAGAACAACCCUCACAAAGUGUGUCCUGCAGGAUUGCAUCCGUGUUGUAUAUAAAAAGUAAUAACAAACACAGGUUUAACUUAGGAUCAACUGAUACCUAGUCUGCCCUUUUCAAGUUAAUAUGUGUGGUUAGACCUGCAGAGAGUUCAGGUGUUUUCAAGCAGAGUAACUACUGGAAAGCUGUAAAAGAUAAUUUCUCCUGUUAGGUGAAGCCUGGGGGGAGAAAUGUAACUCUACUAAAACCUUAAGAGAAAUCUGACAGAGCAGCCUCUGCAUCCAGGCAGUACUGGUCUAAAAAAGCAAAGCUACAACUCACAGGUUGUGCUUUUACUAUCAGCUGAAGUUCCAUCAUGUAACUAUACAGUGUCAAGAUUUUUGUUACCUACAAUUUCAUUAGGAGUCCAGGAAUUGUUUCUUCACGUAAGCCCAGAUAACUCUUUCAGCAGAACUCCCCCUUAGUGCUUACUAAUCCCUUUUACCUGCUGUAUCACAUCUCAAAUCAGAUUUGUUGAAAAAAAAAUUCCUAUUAGCAUGGCCAAUUUUGAGUACUUUACACAUGAAUCAUCACUAAAUUCAACAUGCUAUGAGUAAAGCAUAACUAUGCAGACUUCCGUAGUUCUAGAAAAUAUGUACAAACACCAAAUAACUUGCUGAACAGAGUCUAUUGGCAAAAAUAAUCUGCUAAUAUCCAAGUUGUUUACUCUUUCACAUGAACUAAUUCCAAAGAGGGAAAUGGUAGCAAAUGAUGCUUGAUUUAGCCUGGUCAUACGGCUGUUCAAGCCACAAUCCUGAAAAAACCUACACACAUACAUGAGACCAGUAGGUAAGUUAUUGCAGAAGUGGAAGUCGGAACAGAAUUAUGUCAGGUAUUAAGCAAACUGAAAAAAAACCCCAACAAAAUACUCAUAUUUUACUCUUCUCUUACUGGUAGUUAAAGAAAAAAAAAAAAGGCUAAGGUAAGCUAUGGAAAACAAAAGGAGAAAACUGAAAAAAGAUACUCUUUGAACAAGUUACCAUGUGUAUGAUAUGCUACUCUUUUUGGAGUUAGUCAGCUCACUGGCACUAGUUGACCUUGGUUGGAGCAUAGGGGGUUGGGCUAGGUGCCCAAUCAAAUGCCAAUCAAAUUCUAGACUUCCAGAGGUCCCUUCCAACCACCAUGAUUAUAUGAAACAUUUUCCAAAUCACUGAUUUCAUUAGCACAUUUUUCAUAAUAGUUUUACAAAGAUACAGUAAAUUUACAAAGAUACAAGAUUACAGUAAAAAAAAUACACAUAAAUACAUAGGUUCUUGACCAUGGACAUAGUUGAUCUGUUUUCUACCACUGGGCUUUUUUAAUUAGUGCAGCUGUCAGUUAACACAAACGAAAACAAAGUUUAAACAGUUUAAACCCCAACAUUUCUUCCUUUUGUAUUUUGAUUAAAUGAAGACAGCCUGCUAGAACCUCCCCUUUAUUAAAGUGGAACAUGAAAACCAAUCUUUUGUUUUUUCAUAGAUAAAAAAGUGCUCCUUGAAUUUGUUGGUCCAUGCUGGCAUUGAAAAAUCAUAAUUUCUUGAAAAUAGGUAGCAUGCACUGAAAAAGAGGUGAACUGUGCUUUUUUCUGGUGUAAGUUGUGUGCAAAGUGGUACCAGGGAUUGCUUUGGCUCAGUAUAUUUGUUGUUUAUCGAGGCACUUAGAGCUAAUUAAAUGUCUGACAUUUUGCAGCUCUCGAGAUUAUUUUCUGGUGUGAACACGUAAGUAUAGGAUCAGUAAAAUAAGGCAACCUUUAAAAAUCAGAUCAGUACUUAGGCCCUGUUUUGGUUAGUCAUGGGACCAUCUCCUCAGCUGCUACAAACUGUUGUACUCCACUAAAUUCACACAGGUGACAACAGUCUGCAGAAGCAGAGCGUUGAGCCCCCUGGUCUUUUUGUUUAAUACAGACCCUAACACCAUGGAUUUGAACAGGCUGGGGGUUUUUAUUAUUAUUAUUAUUUUAUUCCAAACGUUUUACUUUGAUUUUUCUUGUGGAAUGUGUGCUCUUGUAAUUUUGAUUUUCUGAAGUUUACAUUCAGGUUUUGAUUUCAGAUUGCACAUUUGGAUAAAAUAAACUGUUUUCUAAGUUUACAUUUGUAUAAGUAGUAAAAGAGUGACUCUGCCAAUAUAUUAAACCUAAGAGAGAAAUGUCUUACUGUAACACAGGAACUCUUUAGACAUAAGGCAGUACCAUUAAAGGUGGUUUAACCUGAUCAUUGAUGUAUAGUAUCAGUUUUCUCUGUGUAUUUAAAAUAUGGGAGCUGGAUAUAUAGGGAGCACACUAUAGAAAAAGAUAACUUUUCAUCAUGAACUCAAUUAUUACCAAAUAAACUAAGGUUCAUUAUUAUUGAUAUGCUUUCUUGUGUGUUUAGAGAUUCAAUGACAAAAACUAGCUGUGACAUAUAUCCUUUGAGUGCUAAAUUUACAGCCUGGUUUAAAAUUCCAAACAAAAUAACUUGUGGAGAAACAUUGCACUGUUACACUGUAGAACACUUUUCAAAAGAUAAAUGUUUUGCUUUCUAGCCAAAACCAUGGUUCUGAGCCUGCAAAUACAAUUUCAUGCAAGUUAGUUAUUUUUACUCUUGCAAAUAAGACCAUAAAAGAUAAUGGGAGUAUUUGCAUAAGCAAAAAACCCUGAUGUGAAAAAGAAAUUGUAGAUUUGCAUUUUAAGUUUGUUGUAAGAUGCCAAUCAAAUUCUAGAAGUUUCAGUCCUUGAAGAGUUAUGCAAGAGAUGUGAACAUAUUUUAAGGUGCAGAAUAUAUUCCCCAUUUCCAUUGACACCAUUUCUCACAGUUAAAGGGUUGUAAAGCAUAAGAAAGCUUACUGAGAGCUUUCUUGUGCUUACCAGAUGUUUGUCUUUUACAUGACAGAAUCUGACAAGAAGUACAAGUUUUUUGGGCUGUCAGGAACUUGUAAUAACAAUAACAACAGCAAACAGUUAAAAGUGCUGUCUUCAAAGUGCCUUGUGUAUUAAAUUCUGUAAGAAACAAGUUGAUGUAAAUGUAAAUUUACCUCAUAUGUUUACAAAAUUGUGACUAAAUAAACUUUUUGUACCACA